rnacentral:tRNA from 66 species
GGACGCAUAGCUCAGCGGGAGAGCGUUCCCUUCACACGGGAGAGGUCCAAGGUUCGAUCCCUUGUGCGUCCACCA